rnacentral:lncRNA from 1 species
AUACCCAUAGUUACCACUGGGAGCAGGGUGGGCCGUUUACACUCCUCGUCCUACCUCGCCAUCACCUUAGGAAGCAGCCAUUCUCCUUGUCCUUACUGUAGAGGAGGAAGCCUGGACAGCCUGCAGUUGAGGGGACCUGCACAAGCUCACAGGACUCUUCAUCACCAUGACACCACCCUCACCGCAAAAUAAAAAUGAUUAAACCUGUCAUGAUGUCAGCAGCACCGGUGUUGGUCUUUGUGGGAAAGAAAAACACAGGCCAGGGCUGCAGCACCAUUGUGUCUGCCCAGCUUGCAGCCUGGAGAACACCGUUGGAUUCCCUCCCACACAUGCUCCCAGGCUGCCUGCCUGCCUCACUUACCUGCUCAGGGUGGGGCUUGAGGGUGGCCCCUGGGAAGAGUAAGAACUGGCCAAGACUGAGAUGUCCUUCCCUCAUUUAAGGUACCGCCUUUUCCCUUUUCCCGCCAUCCUGGGUGCAUGGAUACUUGGGAUUAGAAACUGGACUGGAAAUGUAAUCUUUCUUCGGUUUGGGGCUGAGAACUGGGGAUUAGUAGAUUUGAGUUUAUGGCACAGCCUUUUCUUACACCAUUUCCUAAAAGCAGUUAAGAUUACACCAGGCACGGUGGCUUACGCCUGUAAUCUCAGCACUUUGGGAGGCUGAGGCAGGUGGAUCACCUGAGGUCAGGAGUUCAAGACCAGCUUGACCAACAUGGUGAAACCCCAUCUCUACUAAAAAUACAAAAAUUAGCUGGGCGUGGUGGCAUGCAUUUGUAGUCCCGGCUACUUGGGAGGCUGAGGCAGGAGAAUCCCUUGAACCCGGGAGGCGGAGGUUGCGGUGAGCUGAGAUCGCACCAUUGCACUCCAGCAGCCUGGGCAACAAGAACGAAACUCCGUCUCAAAAAAAAAAAAAAAAAAAAAAAAUUACAGUCAUCUCCCAGAAAAAUCAAGAAGGAAGACCCUUGGAGGUUCAACCUAUAGAAGAUAUGUUCUCAUGGAAUAAACCAAAAAUAAUUUUUAUUUUUUAAAAAAAUCAAGAACAGAAGUCUCUCAACAUUUAAGUUUUACAAACAAAUAGAAUCUGAGCCACUGGGUUAAACAUGACAAACGACACACAGUAACAAAUAUUGAAGACAUCGUAAUGCCAAAGCAACAGAAGCAGCACCGGAAAUGUUGCUGAGGCCACCAUUUAAUUAACGCAAGUUGAACAUAUGGCUUUGGUUACAUGUGGUUCCAGGCCGGAGGCAUGAAAGUCAGUGUUUGUGGGAAAGCCAGGAGGAAAAGCUCCUCUCCCCACCCCCUUCUUGUCACUCCAGGUUCUGGUGACCCCAUCUCAGGACACGGCCUCCCAUUUCACUCCUGCACCAACCCCACUCUUGUAACACUGCACAUGCAAGAUGUGAGCAUCUUCAAAGUACGAAUAUUGCCUUCUUCAUUUUAGAAUCCAUGAUGUGCUUGUGGGGAGAAUGAAUGAAUGCUCAAACAUGAAUGGAGAGAGACAGAGAGGAAGUGCAGGUCUAACCAAGGAAACAUUCUUUCCUAGAAAAUCGUUGAUGAGCCCAGAAAGAGUUGGCUGAAUAACGGUAACAAUUCUUUUAUUAUUAUUUAACUUAUUAAGUUAUUAGAAAAAGUAAAACAGUGAGUCAAGGUUUUUGGAUUGGAAGAAGGGACCCACUGAGUUCCCUCCAGGAUUGUGGAGUUUCUUUUACAGCCAUAUGUGGAUAAGAAACUAAGGGCCACAGACCAAAUAACAGGUCGGAUGGCAACCCUGGAAAAGUCACACAGCUCAGCCUGUUGGAGGAAGAGGAGCAGUAGAACCUGUGUGGAGCCUGACAGAACCCAAGAUGCCAUUCACGAACCGCGAGGUCUUUCAAGAUCACACACAGUUCUACGACACAGACAUUUCAUCUUCUUGCUACUCAGUAGCGGGGCCCAUCCCUCUGUGCCUCCAAGGGACCACUUCACACACCCCUUUUUCGCCUCCAGAGUAGAUGGAACCGUGGAACGAGGGAAUCCUGCCCUCUGGUUGUGUCUGUCAUCUCCUACUGGGACCAGAGCCACAAAAGCCACAGAAGACCCAACUCUCUCCAGCAUGCAGGCAUCCCAACUAGAGGAAGCAAGGAGGCAGAGACCAAGAGGACAUCAAGAGGCGUUUGAACCCGCAGAGAGGGCCUGGCAGCACAAUGCUGAGCGAGAAAGAAUUGUGCCAUGAAAAAUGGAAAACUCCUGAGAAGCUGUUCCAGCGUCAGGAGAGCAGCAGACAAGCUGGACUGGGGAAGAUUCUUCUGCAAGACCUGCAGAGUGUAUGACACAUAACCAGCACCCAAGAAAUGUCUACCGAGGAAUUAAUGAAUGAGGUAAGUUGAAUGAAUGAAGCAAAGGUUUUUCAGGAAAUCCCGUGCCUUACCCCAAAUCAAUAAGUCUAAUACUGGGUUUCAGGCUACUGAAAAUGAAAUUUGAGGGCAAUAGACCUUUUGGGAGCAAUUUGCCUUUUAAAAUAUUAAAGUCCUUUAAAUAACACUACCUGGUGAGGAUGACGAGGAAAAAUAUAGGGCAUAGGGUGGCCUCCCCACAGGCAUUUUUCUUCUUUUCUCUUUCCUAACAGGGUCCCAUACUUCCUAGCCAUGCUGUUGGCAGGGAUUAACAUCGUUGCAAUUCUCUGGGUAGACCUUGGGAGGUUUAAACCAACCAGUGACCCCUAUCAUCCUAGCUCCAGAGAUUGGCUUAGGGAUAGUCACCCAAUGCAGGCCAAUGCAAGGUGACUUUGCCAGGGGCUUCUGGGAAAGAAGUUUCCUUUCUCUGAGGAAACGUGAAUGAGGACAUCCAUAACUCAGGUUGUGUCUGGCAGCCAUCUUGUGAUCAUCUGGCAAGACAGCCCAAGAAUAAAGCCGUCACCAUGGAGACUAAGAAGAGACAGAAAGACACUGGGUCUUCAUUGUCUCGUCCAGCUGUUCAUGAGGCCUUAUCUGAAGCCCACGUGACCUCUGGACUUCUCACUUACAUGAGAGAAUAAAGCUCUUUUUUGUUUAGACCAAAUAAAUACAUAAUACAAUUACAUAAUCCCUUGAUUCCUUUUUAUGACUGAGCUCAGAGACUAUAUUUUGUCAUUUUAAAUCACCUUUGUCUUACAGUUUAUUUAACUGAAACAAAUAAACAAACCAAAACACGCCAGUUUUUCACUCCUCUGUCAAAGCCUUUCCAAGAUCACUAAGCUUGUGAUGUCCUGGGUGAAU